rfam:Ipomoea nil DNA, scaffold: scaffold1317, cultivar: Tokyo-kokei standard.
GGGGAUGUAGCUCAUAUGGUAGAGCGCUCACUUUGCAUGCAAGAGGUACAGGGAUCGAUACCCCGCAUCUUCA